GGGCAUGUAGCGCAGUUGGUAGCGCGCUCGCUUAGCAGUUUAAGCCCAGAUUUGAACCGCGAUAGCUUACGUAAUCAGCUGCGAGAGGUCUUGGGUUCAAUUCCCAACUUGUCCA